AAGUCGUAACAAGGUUUCCGUAGGUGAACCUGCGGAAGGAUCAUUAUCGAAUAAACUUGAACAGGCUGUUGCUGACUCCGUGCACGCUUGUCAUCUUUAUUUCUCCAACUGUGCACUUAUUGUAGACUUGGGAGGGAGGAUUUUUUUCCCCCUCCGAGUCUAUGUUGCUUUUCACAAUCUUUGAAUGUGUUAGGAAUGUGGAUAAAUGAAAUAAUAUAAUACAACUUUCAGCAAUGGAUCUCUUGGCUCUCGCAUCGAUGAAGAACGCAGCGAAAUGCGAUAAGUAAUGUGAAUUGCAGAAUUCAGUGAAUCAUCGAAUCUUUGAACGCAUCUUGCGCUCCUUGGUAUUCUGAGGAGCAUGCCUGUUUGAGUGUCAUCAAGUUCUCAACUACAUCGAUCCUUUCGGUGUGGCUUUUGGAUGUGGGUUUGCAGGCUUUAAAAAGUCGGCUCUCCUGAAAUGAAUUAGUGGUAUUCUGAGCACUAUGGGUGUGAUAAAUUUAUCUAUGCCCCUGGUAUGCUGCAUUCGCCGCUUCUAAAAAAGAAACAUGUUUGAUGAAUUUGACCUCAAAUCAGGUAGGACUACCCGCUGAACUUAAGCAUAUCAAUAAGCGGAGGAAAAAGAAACUAACAAGGAUUCCCCUAGUAACUGCGAGUGAAGCGGGAAAAGCUCAAAUUUGAAAUCUGGUGGUUUUUGACCGUCCGAGUUGUAAUCUAGAGAA
rnacentral:misc_RNA from 1 species